CCUACGGGAGGCAGCAGUGGGGAAUAUUGGACAAUGGGGGGAACCCUGAUCCAGCCAUGCCGCGUGUGUGAAGAAGGCCCUCGGGUUGUAAAGCACUUUCAGUGAGGAAGAACGCCUGGUGGUUAAUACCCAUCAGGAAAGACAUCACUCACAGAAGAAGCACCGGCUAACUCCGUGCCAGCAGCCGCGGUAAUACGGAGGGUGCGAGCGUUAAUCGGAAUUACUGGGCGUAAAGCGCGUGUAGGUGGCUUGAUAAGCCGGUUGUGAAAGCCCCGGGCUCAACCUGGGAACGGCAUCCGGAACUGGCAAGCUAGAGUGCAGGAGAGGAAGGUAGAAUUCCCGGUGUAGCGGUGAAAUGCGUAGAGAUCGGGAGGAAUACCAGUGGCGAAGGCGGCCUUCUGGACUGACACUGACACUGAGGUGCGAAAGCGUGGGUAGCAAACAGGAUUAGAUACCCUAGUAGUC
rnacentral:rRNA from 1 species